UGUGGGAGCGAGCUUGCUCGCGAUGGCGUAGGUCAGCCAGCAUCAAUUUUGACUGACACACCGCUAUCGCGAGCAAGCUCGCUCCCACA
rnacentral:misc_RNA from 1 species